rnacentral:rRNA from 1 species
UGGGGAAUAUUGCACAAUGGGCGCAAGCCUGAUGCAGCGACGCCGCGUGAGGGAUGGAGGCCUUCGGGUUGUAAACCUCUUUCGCCAGUGAAGCAGGCCAUCUUCUUUGUGGGGUGGUUGACGGUAGCUGGAUAAGAAGCGCCGGCUAACUACGUGCCAGCAGCCGCGGUAAUACGUAGGGCGCGAGCGUUGUCCGGAAUUAUUGGGCGUAAAGAGCUCGUAGGCGGCUGGUCGCGUCUGUCGUGAAAUCCCCUGGCUUAACUGGGGGCUUGCGGUGGGUGCGGGCCGGCUUGAGUGCGGUAGGGGAGACUGGAAUUCCUGGUGUAGCGGUGGAAUGCGCAGAUAUCAGGAGGAGCACCGGUGGCGAAGGCGGGUCUCUGGGCCGUUACUGACGCUGAGGAGCGAAAGCGUGGGGAGCGAACAGG